rnacentral:rRNA from 1 species
UACGUAGGGGGCAAGCGUUGUCCGGAAUCAUUGGGCGUAAAGAGCGCGUAGGCGGCCCGAUAAGUCUGCUGUGAAAGUCCAGGGCUCAACCCUGGAAUGCCGGUGGAUACUGUCGGGCUAGAGUACGGAAGAGGCGAGUGGAAUUCCUGGUGUAGCGGUGAAAUGCGCAGAUAUCAGGAGGAACACCGGUGGCGAAGGCGGAUCUCUGGGCCAUUACUGACGCUGAGGAGCGAAAGCGUGGGGAGUGAACAGG